rnacentral:lncRNA from 1 species
UCAUUCGAUCUAGAGACAAGGGUGGAAUGAUGAUUCUCGAGUGCUUCAAUGACUUGCUUUCGAAUGGCCUCGUCGAAGCUGGUGAUCAGCUACUUUUGUUCGUUCUAUGGUUCUUUUGGGACUUGGACAAUCAAAUUGAUUACAGUGCUGCUCAAACAACGGAACUUAGAAUGAUCAAAAGAAUGCCCCACGUGCCUAUACUUGAACAAAAAUAGGUAGUUUCUCAUGUAUCACAGACUUUCAAAAAAUAACAAUUCUCUUCAAACUCAUCUAGACCUUGUCAGGUAGUUUGAGCUCCAGGCUUAACUCUACAUAAAUCGUAGCCUCACAAAGUCUAUAUAGAUUCGAGAUGGACUUAUCAAUCUUUAUUGGUAACCUAAUAGGUUUAGAUAAAGCAAGCAAAAAUCUCUUAACACAUAAGUGAAAAG